rnacentral:rRNA from 1 species
GGGUUGUGAGGUUAAGCGACUAAGCGUACACGGUGGAUGCCCUGGCAGUCAGAGGCGAUGAAGGACGUGCUAAUCUGCGAUAAGCGUCGGUAAGGUGAUAUGAACCGUUAUAACCGGCGAUUUCCGAAUGGGGAAACCCAGUGUGUUUCGACACACUAUCAUUAACUGAAUCCAUAGGUUAAUGAGGCGAACCGGGGGAACUGAAACAUCUAAGUACCCCGAGGAAAAGAAAUCAACCGAGAUUCCCCCAGUAGCGGCGAGCGAACGGGGAGGAGCCCAGAGCCUGAAUCAGUGUGUGUGUUAGUGGAAGCGUCUGGAAAGGCGCGCGAUACAGGGUGACAGCCCCGUACACAAAAAUGCACAUGCUGUGAGCUCGAUGAGUAGGGCGGGACACGUGGUAUCCUGUCUGAAUAUGGGGGGACCAUCCUCCAAGGCUAAAUACUCCUGACUGACCGAUAGUGAACCAGUACCGUGAGGGAAAGGCGAAAAGAACCCCGGCGAGGGGAGUGAAAAAGAACCUGAAACCGUGUACGUACAAGCAGUGGGAGCCUCUUUAUGGGGUGACUGCGUACCUUUUGUAUAAUGGGUCAGCGACUUAUAUUCUGUAGCAAGGUUAACCGAAUAGGGGAGCCGAAGGGAAACCGAGUCUUAACUGGGCGUUAAGUUGCAGGGUAUAGACCCGAAACCCGGUGAUCUAGCCAUGGGCAGGUUGAAGGUUGGGUAACACUAACUGGAGGACCGAACCGACUAAUGUUGAAAAAUUAGCGGAUGACUUGUGGCUGGGGGUGAAAGGCCAAUCAAACCGGGAGAUAGCUGGUUCUCCCCGAAAGCUAUUUAGGUAGCGCCUCGUGAAUUCAUCUCCGGGGGUAGAGCACUGUUUCGGCAAGGGGGUCAUCCCGACUUACCAACCCGAUGCAAACUGCGAAUACCGGAGAAUGUUAUCACGGGAGACACACGGCGGGUGCUAACGUCCGUCGUGAAGAGGGAAACAACCCAGACCGCCAGCUAAGGUCCCAAAGUCAUGGUUAAGUGGGAAACGAUGUGGGAAGGCCCAGACAGCCAGGAUGUUGGCUUAGAAGCAGCCAUCAUUUAAAGAAAGCGUAAUAGCUCACUGGUCGAGUCGGCCUGCGCGGAAGAUGUAACGGGGCUAAACCAUGCACCGAAGCUGCGGCAGCGACGCUUAUGCGUUGUUGGGUAGGGGAGCGUUCUGUAAGCCUGUGAAGGUGUGCUGUGAGGCAUGCUGGAGGUAUCAGAAGUGCGAAUGCUGACAUAAGUAACGAUAAAGCGGGUGAAAAGCCCGCUCGCCGGAAGACCAAGGGUUCCUGUCCAACGUUAAUCGGGGCAGGGUGAGUCGACCCCUAAGGCGAGGCCGAAAGGCGUAGUCGAUGGGAAACAGGUUAAUAUUCCUGUACUUGGUGUUACUGCGAAGGGGGGACGGAGAAGGCUAUGUUGGCCGGGCGACGGUUGUCCCGGUUUAAGCGUGUAGGCUGGUUUUCCAGGCAAAUCCGGAAAAUCAAGGCUGAGGCGUGAUGACGAGGCACUACGGUGCUGAAGCAACAAAUGCCCUGCUUCCAGGAAAAGCCUCUAAGCAUCAGGUAACAUCAAAUCGUACCCCAAACCGACACAGGUGGUCAGGUAGAGAAUACCAAGGCGCUUGAGAGAACUCGGGUGAAGGAACUAGGCAAAAUGGUGCCGUAACUUCGGGAGAAGGCACGCUGAUAUGUAGGUGAAGUCCCUCGCGGAUGGAGCUGAAAUCAGUCGAAGAUACCAGCUGGCUGCAACUGUUUAUUAAAAACACAGCACUGUGCAAACACGAAAGUGGACGUAUACGGUGUGACGCCUGCCCGGUGCCGGAAGGUUAAUUGAUGGGGUCAGCGCAAGCGAAGCUCUUGAUCGAAGCCCCGGUAAACGGCGGCCGUAACUAUAACGGUCCUAAGGUAGCGAAAUUCCUUGUCGGGUAAGUUCCGACCUGCACGAAUGGCGUAAUGAUGGCCAGGCUGUCUCCACCCGAGACUCAGUGAAAUUGAACUCGCUGUGAAGAUGCAGUGUACCCGCGGCAAGACGGAAAGACCCCGUGAACCUUUACUAUAGCUUGACACUGAACAUUGAGCCUUGAUGUGUAGGAUAGGUGGGAGGCUUUGAAGUGUGGACGCCAGUCUGCAUGGAGCCGACCUUGAAAUACCACCCUUUAAUGUUUGAUGUUCUAACGUUGACCCGUAAUCCGGGUUGCGGACAGUGUCUGGUGGGUAGUUUGACUGGGGCGGUCUCCUCCUAAAGAGUAACGGAGGAGCACGAAGGUUGGCUAAUCCUGGUCGGACAUCAGGAGGUUAGUGCAAUGGCAUAAGCCAGCUUGACUGCGAGCGUGACGGCGCGAGCAGGUGCGAAAGCAGGUCAUAGUGAUCCGGUGGUUCUGAAUGGAAGGGCCAUCGCUCAACGGAUAAAAGGUACUCCGGGGAUAACAGGCUGAUACCGCCCAAGAGUUCAUAUCGACGGCGGUGUUUGGCACCUCGAUGUCGGCUCAUCACAUCCUGGGGCUGAAGUAGGUCCCAAGGGUAUGGCUGUUCGCCAUUUAAAGUGGUACGCGAGCUGGGUUUAGAACGUCGUGAGACAGUUCGGUCCCUAUCUGCCGUGGGCGCUGGAGAACUGAGGGGGGCUGCUCCUAGUACGAGAGGACCGGAGUGGACGCAUCACUGGUGUUCGGGUUGUCAUGCCAAUGGCACUGCCCGGUAGCUAAAUGCGGAAGAGAUAAGUGCUGAAAGCAUCUAAGCACGAAACUUGCCCCGAGAUGAGUUCUCCCUGACUCCUUGAGAGUCCUGAAGGAACGUUGAAGACGACGACGUUGAUAGGCCGGGUGUGUAAGCGCAGCGAUGCGUUGAGCUAACCGGUACUAAUGAACCGUGAGGCUUAACCUUACAACGCCGAAGCUGUU